UCUCCGGAGCCUUGCGGUAAUAGAUUUAUGCUAGAGGAAGGAUUUGAAUAAUUUCUUGUGAAAAAGAUGGUUAGAGUGCGAGCACCAAAUAAUUUUUUGGCAUCUCCAUCCUCUCUAGAUGUCCUACCAGAAGCUUUCCAGCAACAACCAGUUGCUAUUGAUCCUCAACAAUUCAUCCUGCUUGUUCAAGAAAUCCAAGCUUUGACAGCAGCUAUUCAACAGCUUCAAAAGAUUGAGGAGCGACAUC
rnacentral:lncRNA from 1 species